ACCAGAUCAGAACUCAUUUCACGACCUCCAGUCUUUCAGCUUCAUCUUCAACCCCAAUUUUCAAUUUUUGUUCUUCCACCUCAGUUUUUGUUCAACCUCAUCAUUCUAAGCUUCGUCGGAGGGCUCUCCUGGGCCACCGACAAUGAUGCGCUGUUGAGGGCCUUUUCUCCGUUGGUGAGAUCAUCGAAUCGAAGGGCCGUUUGACCCAUGUUCUCUCUCUGCUACUCGAUCUUCUGUUUCUCUAUGUUACUUGAUCUUUCUCUCCCAAAGAUUGAAGAUCGAUAAUUCCUUUUCAUUUUUGUUUAUUAUUGUGUAUUUGUUUGAUUAUACUUUGGCGUUUUGGUUUUGAUGGACGGAUUUGAUUUGAUUUGGUUUCUUUUUGUGUUUCCAGAUCAUCAACGAUUGCGAGACCGGGAGGUCUAGGGGCUUCAGCUUCAGCUUCGGCUUCGUCACCUUCAGCAACGAGAAGGCCAUGAGGGACGCGAUCGAAGGCAUGAACGACUAGAACUUCGACGACUGUAACAUCACCGUCAACGAGGCCCAGUCUUGUGGAAGCGGCAGUGGUAGUAACAGAGGUUACAGCCACGGAGGUGGCGACAUCGCAUUGCCUAUUUGAUUUGAUUUUUCUCUUUUUCUCUAUCUUUGGUUUAAAUGUGGAAAAUGGAUUAAAAAAACAAUUUGAAGGUGUUUUCUGAAUUUUAGUUUGCUAUCUGGUGUUGGUUGAUUUUGAAUUGGUUAUAUGUGUUGGCAGAAAAUUCAUGCAUUGCUGUCUCUCAUCUGGAGUUGUUGUUCAGUUUAAUCCCUGCAGGAGCUUGUAUCCAAGUGUGUGAGGCUGGCUCACUUGUUUCAUGUUUGAUGUAGUAACAUUAGUCAUUUUGAUUUGGCUGUAAGAUUUAGCUAUAAGGAAUUGCUUUUUGCGUUUUGAAAUCAAACCAAUUCCUCAUUUGAAACAAUAAGUUUCUAGAAUCUGUUAUACACAUGAACUUAUUUGAUGACUGCAAAGACCUAUAUUAAUUUCUUGGAUGAUCAAAUUGGCUAUUUUUGGUAUGAAAUGCUUGCUAAAUAUGCAUCUCUAACCCCGAGUGUAGCACCAUGCGCUGUGACUUAACCCACAAAGCUUACUAUUGAAUGAAAAACAAGAUAUCCUCUUUUUAUUUUCCUCUAUUGAUCUACUAUAUGGAGUUUCUUUGCUUUUUCUGCCCUGUUGAAUUAUGAAUAUGGAUUUCUUAGUUCAAUUUAGAAAAUCUAUGUUAUUCUCUUAUUGGUUCAGCAUAUAUCUAUUGAAAUUUUGACGCGGGGAGUGAAUGGUUUCAUAUUAUCCCUGUAGUUUGUAGUGAAAUGACAUACUAUUCAAAUUCUGUAUACUAUUUCACCUUAUCAGUUAUGUGCCUUGGGCUUAUGAUUGUUAUCUAUGUUGUUCCAAUUAUUCUAGUCUUAUUGUAUGAAUGGUCCUGAAUGAUUUUGUGUUCCAAUUUAGAAUGGGCCUCAAUGAUUUUGUGUUUUGGAGCUGAAUACAAAAGCAGUGGUUCAUACAGUUAUGAUUCUGGAAAAUGAACAGCUGCCUGUGUAUUUCAUUUGAAACAUGUCUGGGCAUGGUUUGUAUAAUCUUUUUUCCUGGUGUCCCGCCCAUUGUUCUUGUAUCUUUCUGGCAAUAUGGAUUUAAUCCUCUUGAAAAGAAAAAAGAAGAAGAAGUAAUUGACACACUAAUAAUCUGUUAUAGCUGUGUUAAGUGAUGGAUGGUAGAUGUUAAAACAUGUGAACAUACAAGCCUUGUUGAUUUUAAAUUCGAGAAUGUUAAUGUAUGUACUCUAUCUCUGUACCAACAGCCGAAGCAAAUCCACGAGAUUAAGGAUUUCCUUCUAACUGGACGAAGGAAGGAUCACGCUCUGUCAAAAUCAAGAGGAGCAAAGAUGCUGUCAAGUUUAAGGUUCGAUGCUCCAAGUACCUUUACACUCUUUGCGUGUUUGAUUUGGAGAAGGCCAACAAGUUGAAGCAUUCCCUUCCUCCAGGUAUAUCAUUUCGUUUUCAGUUGUGUCAUUUAUUAUGAUUUGCAACUCGCAUGUGGUCAUCUCUUUGAAUUUAGGUGUAUGAGAAAGCAUGCACACAUGUGGUUCCUAUUGUUUUAAUAUUCCAGUAAUGGAAGAAUCAAGGGACUUUCUUUCUUUCUUUGUUUUUUUGUUUGUUUUUAAGGCUCACUUGUAUAACUAACAACUAGUUUGCUAUAAUUUUGUAUUUGUAGGUUUGAGCGUCAGGACCUGUGAAGAAGAGAUUUGAGUAGCUUGACAAAAUCUAAGGAAUGCAAUGGAUUUGUUUUUUGUUGGGAAUUUUGAAGAAUUUAUGGAUUUGUGCACUGGUAUUUGGGGUUUAUAUGUGGACUUGAGUUUUAUUUAUGGAUACUGUGCUGUUUGAAAUUUAGCACUUAGGGCUCGUUUGGGAAUGCUUCUCUAGGAAGUACUUUAGCUCAUAAGCAUUGUCAUUAUAAAAAUCUUGAAAUUUCAUAAAAAAAUCCAAGUGCUUCUUGGAAAAGUACUUUGUUUUCAGUUGUAUCAUUUAUUAUGAUUUGCAACUCGCAUAUGGUCAUCUUUAUGUGCUUUGAUAUGGCAUUUGCAACAAGCCAAUUUUGGCUUUUUGGGUGGUUGUGGGUCUAAUAUAUGACUUUUGUAAAUUUCAACAAGCUGGUAAGUUGAUUUGUAGUAUACAAUUUGUUAUCUGUAAGUCGUAUGAGCAGUUGUUAACUUCCAGUAAGUGGUAUGAACAGCUGUUAUACUGUUUAUACCCUGCAACUGAGUUG
rnacentral:lncRNA from 1 species